rnacentral:rRNA from 1 species
AAACGACUCUCGGCAACGGAUAUCUCGGCUCUCGCAUCGAUGAAGAACGUAGCAAAAUGCGAUACUUGGUGUGAAUUGCAGAAUCCCGUGAACCAUCGAGUCUUUGAACGCAAGUUGCGCCCCAAGCCUUCUGGCCGAGGGCACGUCUGCCUGGGUGUCACAA